rnacentral:rRNA from 1 species
UACGAAGGGGGCUAGCGUUGUUCGGAAUCACUGGGCGUAAAGGGCGCGUAGGCGGCCGAUCAAGUCGGGGGUGAAAGCCUGUGGCUCAACCACAGAAUUGCCUUCGAUACUGGUUGGCUUGAGACCGGAAGAGGUAAGUGGAACUGCGAGUGUAGAGGUGAAAUUCGUAGAUAUUCGCAAGAACACCAGUGGCGAAGGCGGCUUACUGGUCCGGUUCUGACGCUGAUGCGCGAAAGCGUGGGUAGCAAACAGG